rnacentral:rRNA from 1 species
CCUACGGGCGGCAGCAGUGGGGGAUAUUGCACAAUGGGGGGAACCCUGAUGCCGCGACGCCGCGUGGGUGAAGGAGCGUUUCGGCGCGUAAAGCCCUAUCGGCAGGGAAGAAGAAGGACGGUACCUGACUAAGAAGCCCCGGCUAACUACGUGCCAGCAGCCGCGGUAAUACGUAGGGGGCAAGCGUUAUCCGGAUUUACUGGGUGUAAAGGGGGCGCAGACGGCAGCGCAAGCCAGGAGUGAAAGCCCGGGGCCCAACCCCGGGACUGCUCUUGGAACCGGGCGGCUGGAGUGCAGGAGGGGCAGGCGGAAUUCCUGGUGUAGCGGUGAAAUGCGUAGAUAUUAGGAGGAACACCAGUGGCGAAGGCGGCCUGCUGGGCUUUUACUGACGCUGAGGCUCGAAAGUGUGGGGAGCAAACAGGAUUAGAUACCCGGGUAGUC